rnacentral:rRNA from 1 species
ACGUACACUCCUGCGGGAGGCAGCAGUGGGGAAUGUUGGACAAUGGGCGCAAGCCUGAUCCAGCCAUGCCGCGUGAGUGAUGAAGGCCCUAGGGUUGUAAAGCUCUUUCACCGGUGAAGAUAAUGACGGUAACCGGAGAAGAAGCCCCGGCUAACUUCGUGCCAGCAGCCGCGGUAAUACGAAGGGGGCUAGCGUUGUUCGGAUUUACUGGGCGUAAAGCGCACGUAGGCGGACUAUUAAGUCAGGGGUGAAAUCCCGGGGCUCAACCCCGGAACUGCCUUUGAUACUGGUAGUCUUGAGUUCGAGAGAGGUGAGUGGAAUUCCGAGUGUAGAGGUGAAAUUCGUAGAUAUUCGGAGGAACACCAGUGGCGAAGGCGGCUCACUGGCUCGAUACUGACGCUGAGGUGCGAAAGCGUGGGGAGCAAACAGGAUUAGAAACCCGGGUAGUCCCAUGAU